AUUUUGGGAGUGUUUUUGGGCAUUCAGUUCUGGCACGAAAAAUGAUGCAAAACGGGUGCAUUUCGGCACCCGAAUGCACUAUUUCCGGGUAGCGAAACUCGGGUGGAUUUUUCCGCAACGAACGCAUCCAAUCUUCCUAAUUAUACACUAAAACAUGUUUGGGAGUGUUUUUGGGCAUUCGGUUCCGGCACGAAAAAUGAUGCAAAACGGGUGCAUUUCGACACCCGAAUGCACUAUUUUCGGGUAGCGAAACUCGGGUGGAUUUUUUCGCAACGAACGCAUGCAAUCUUCGUAAUUAGACCCUAGAACAUGUUUGGGAGUGUUUUUGAGCAUUCGGUUCCGGAACGAAAAAUGAUGCAAAACGGGUGCAUUUCGGCACCCGAAUGCACUUUUUCCGUGUAGCGAAAAUCGGGUGGAUUUUUUCGCAACGAACGCAUGCAAUCUUCCUAAUUAUACCCUAGAACAUGUUUGGGAGUGUUUUUGGGCAUUCGGUCUCGGCACGAAAAAUGAUGCAAAACGGGUGCAUUUCGACAUCCGAAUGCACUAUUUCCGGGUAGCGAAACUCGGGUGGAUUUUUUUGCAACGAACGCAUGCAAUCUUCCUAAUUAUACCCUAGAACAUGUUUGGAAAUGUUUUUGAGCAUUCGGUUCCGGCACGAAAAACGAUGCAAAACGGGUGCAAUUCGGCACCCGAAUGCUAUAUUUCCGGGUAGCGAAAGUCGGGUGGAUUUUUUCGCAACGAACGCAUGCAAUCUUCCUAAUUAUACCCUAGAACAUGUUUGGGAGUGUUUUUGGGCAUUCGGUUCCGGAACGAAAAAUGAUGCAAAACGGGUGCAUUUCGGCACCCGAAUGCACUAUUUCUGGGUAGCGAAACUCGUGUGGAUUUUUUCGCAACGAACGCAUGCAAUCUUCCUAAUUAUACCCUAGAACAUGUUUGGAAAUGUUUUUGAGCAUUCGGUUCCGGCACGAAAAACGAUGCAAAACGGGUGGAAUACGGCACCCGAAUGCUAUAUUUCCGGGUAGCGAAAGUCGGGUGGAUUUUUUCGCAACGAACGCAUGCAAUCUUCCUAAUUAUACCCUAGAACAUGUUUGGGAGUGUUUUUGGGCAUUCGGUCUCGGCACGAAAAAUGAUGCAAAACGGGUGCAUUUCGACAUCCGAAUGCACUAUUUCCGGGUAGCGAAACUCGGGUGGAUUUUUUCGCAACGAACGCACCCAAUCUACCUCAUUAGACCCUAGAACUUGUUUGGGAUUGUUUUCGAGCAUUCAGUUCCGUCACGAAAAAUGAUGCAAAACGAGUGGAUUUCGGCACCCGAAUGCACUAUUUGCGGGUAGCGAAACUCGGGUGGAUUUUUUCGCAACGAACGCAUGCAAUCUUCCUAAUUAUACCCUAGAACAUGUUUGGGAGUGUUUUUGAGCAUUCGGUUCCGGAACGAAAAAUGAUGCAAAACGGGUGCAUUUCGGCACCCGAAUGCAUAUUGCUGGGUAGCGAAAGUCGGGUGGAUUUUUUCGCAACGAACGCAUGCAAUCUUCCUAAUUAUACCCUAGAACAUGUUUGGGAGUGUUUUUGAGCAUUCGGUUCCGGAACGAAAAAUGGUGCAAAACGGGUGCAUUUCGGCACCCGAAUGCAUAUUGCUGGGUAGCGAAAGUCGGGUAGAUUUUUUCGCAACGAACGCAUGGAAUCUUCCUAAUUAUACCCUAGAACAUGUUCAGAAGUGUUUCCGAGCAUUCGGUUCCGUCACGAAAAAUGAUGCAAAAACAGUGGAUUUUGGCACCCAAAUCCACUAUUUCCAGGUAGCGAAACUCGUGUUCAUUUUCUCGCAACGAACGCAUCCAAUCUACCUCAUUAGACCGUAGAACAUGUUUGGAAGUGUCUUCGAGCAUUCGGUUUCGGCACGAAAAAUGAUGCAAAACGAGUGGAUUUCGGCACCCGAAUGCACUAUUUCCGGGUAGCGAAACUCGGGUGGAUUUUUUCGCAACGAACGCAUGCAAUCUUCGUAAUUAUACCCUAGAACAUGUUUGGGAGUGUUUUUGAGCAUUCGGUUCCGGCACGAAAAAUGAUGCAAAACGGGUGCAUUUCGGCACCCGAAUGCUAUAUUUCCGGGUAGCGAAACUCGGGUGGAUUUUUCCACAACGAAUGCAUCCAAUCUUCCUAAUUAUACACUAAAACAUUUUUGGGAGUGUUUUUGGGCAUUCAGUUCCGGCACGAAAAAUGAUGCAAAACGGGUGCAUUUCGGCACCCGAAUGCACUAUUUCCGGGUAGCGAAACUCGGGUGGAUUUUUCCGCAACGAACGCAUCGAAUCUUCCUAAUUAUACACUAAAACAUGUUUGGGAGUGUUUUUGGGCAUUCGGUUCCGGCACGAAAAAUGAUGCAAAACGGGUGCAUUUCGACACCCGAAUGCACUAUUUUCGGGUAGCGAAACUCGGGUGGAUUUUUUCGCAACGAACGCAUGCAAUCUUCGUAAUUAGACCCUAGAACAUGUUUGGGAGUGUUUUUGAGCAUUCGGUUCCGGAACGAAAAAUGAUGCAAAACGGGUGCAUUUCGGCACCCGAAUGCACUUUUUCCGUGUAGCGAAAAUCGGGUGGAUUUUUUCGCAACGAACGCAUGCAAUCUUCCUAAUUAUACCCUAGAACAUGUUUGGGAGUGUUUUUGAGCAUUCGGUUCCGGAACGAAAAAUGAUGCAAAACGGGUGCAUUUCGGCACCCGAAUGCAUAUUGCCGGGUAGCGAAACUCGGGUGGAUUUUUUCGCAACGAACGCAUGCAAUCUUCGUAAUUAUACCCUAGAACAUGUUUGGGAGUGUUUUUGAGCAUUCGGUUCCGGAACGAAAAAUGAUGCAAAACGGGUGCAUUUCGGCACCCGAAUGCAUUAUUUCCGGGUAGCGAAACUCGGGUGGAUUUUUUCGCAACGAACGCAUGCAAUCUUCCUAAUUAUACACUAGAACAUGUUUGGAAAUGUUUUUGAGCAUUCGGUUCCGGCACAAAAAACGAUGCAAAACGGGUGCAAUACGGCACCCGAAUGCUAUAUUUCCGGGUAACGAAAGUCGGGUAGAUUUUUUCGCAACGAACGCAUGCAAUCUUCCUAAUUAUACCCUAGAACAUGUUCAGAAGUGUUUCCGAGCAUUCGGUUCCGUCACGAAAAAUGAUGCAAAAACAGUGGAUUUUGGCACCCAAAUCCACUCUUUCCAGGUAGCGAAACUCGUGUUAAUCUUCUCGCAACGAACGCAUCCAAUCUACCUCAUUAGACCGUAGAACAUGUUUAGAAGUGUCUUCGAGCAUUCGGUUUCGGCACGAAAAAUGAUGCAAAACGAGUGGAUUUCGGCACCCGAAUGCACUAUUUCCGGGUAGCGAAACUCGGGUGGAUUUUUUGGCAACGAACGCAUGCAAUCUUCCUAAUUAUACCCUAGAACAUGUUUGGGAGUGUUUUUGGGCAUUCAGUUUCGGUCGAAAAAUGAUGCAAAACUUCGACACCCGAAUGCACUAUUUCCGGGUAGCGAAACUCGGGUGGAUUUUUUCGCAACGAACGCAUGCAAUCUUCCUAAUUAUACCCUAGAACAUGUUUGGGAGUGUUUUUGAGCAUUCGGUUCCGGAACGAAAAAUGAUGCAAAACGGGUGCAUUUCGGCACCCGAAUGCAUAUUGCUGGGUAGCGAAAGUCGGGUAGAUUUUUUCGCAACGAACGCAUGGAAUCUUCCUAAUUAUACCCUAGAACAUGUUCAGAAGUGUUUCCGAGCAUUCGGUUCCGUCACGAAAAAUGAUGCAAAAACAGUGGAUUUUGGCACCCAAAUCCACUAUUUCCAGGUAGCGAAACUCGUGUUCAUUUUCUCGCAACGAACGCAUCCAAUCUACCUCAUUAGACCGUAGAACAUGUUUGGAAGUGUCUUCGAGCAUUCGGUUUCGGCACGAAAAAUGAUGCAAAACGAGUGGAUUUCGGCACCCGAAUGCACUAUUUCCGGGUAGCGAAACUCGGUGGAUUUUUUCGCAACGAACGCAUGCAAUCUUCGUAAUUAUACCCUAGAACAUGUUUGGGAGUGUUUUUGAGCAUUCGGUUCCGGCACGAAAAAUGAUGCAAAACGGGUGCAUUUCGGCACCCGAAUGCUAUAUUUCCGGGUAGCGAAACUCGGGUGGAUUUUUCCACAACGAAUGCAUCCAAUCUUCCUAAUUAUACACUAAAACAUGUUUGGGAGUGUUUUUGGGCAUUCAGUUCCGGCACGAAAAAUGAUGCAAAACGGGUGCAUUUCGGCACCCGAAUGCACUAUUUCCGGGUAGCGAAACUCGGGUGGAUUUUUCCGCAACGAACGCAUCGAAUCUUCCUAAUUAUACACUAAAACAUGUUUGGGAGUGUUUUUGGGCAUUCGGUUCCGGCACGAAAAAUGAUGCAAAACGGGUGCAUUUCGACACCCGAAUGCACUAUUUUCGGGUAGCGAAACUCGGGUGGAUUUUUUCGCAACGAACGCAUGCAAUCUUCGUAAUUAGACCCUAGAACAUGUUUGGGAGUGUUUUUGAGCAUUCGGUUCCGGAACGAAAAAUGAUGCAAAACGGGUGCAUUUCGGCACCCGAAUGCACUUUUUCCGUGUAGCGAAAAUCGGGUGGAUUUUUUCGCAACGAACGCAUGCAAUCUUCCUAAUUAUACCCUAGAACAUGUUUGGGAGUGUUUUUGAGCAUUCGGUUCCGGAACGAAAAAUGAUGCAAAACGGGUGCAUUUCGGCACCCGAAUGCAUAUUGCCGGGUAGCGAAACUCGGGUGGAUUUUUUCGCAACGAACGCAUGCAAUCUUCGUAAUUAUACCCUAGAACAUGUUUGGGAGUGUUUUUGAGCAUUCGGUUCCGGAACGAAAAAUGAUGCAAAACGGGUGCAUUUCGGCACCCGAAUGCAUUAUUUCCGGGUAGCGAAACUCGGGUGGAUUUUUUCGCAACGAACGC
rnacentral:lncRNA from 1 species